AGUUUUAUCUGAAAAAGGAAUGCAUGGCACAGGUUUUUCAAAGACCCCCAUGGGAGGGGAAGUGGACAGGGAGAACGAAAAGGACAGAGACACAACUGGACCUGAAGACAGCAAGAAGGACUAUAAUAGGAGCAGCAGAAGCGACAGCGACAAGGACAGUGAAAGAACUGAAAAUGUAAAUCGCCAAUUGGGGCUUGGACUAAGGGACUAUGCUUGGGUUAGGGGAGGG